AGCGAACGCUGGCGGCAGGCUUAACACAUGCAAGUCGAGCGCCCCGCAAGGGGAGCGGCAGACGGGUGAGUAACACGUGGGAACGUACCUUUUGGUUCGGAACAACCCAGGGAAACUUGGGCUAAUACCGGAUAAGCCCUUACGGGGAAAGAUUUAUCGCCAAAAGAUCGGCCCGCGUCUGAUUAGCUAGUUGGUGGGGUAAUGGCCCACCAAGGCUACGAUCAGUAGCUGGUCUGAGAGGAUGAUCAGCCACAUUGGGACUGAGACACGGCCCAAACUCCUACGGGAGGCAGCAGUGGGGAAUAUUGGACAAUGGGGGAAACCCUGAUCCAGCCAUGCCGCGUGAGUGAUGAAGGCCUUAGGGUUGUAAAGCUCUUUUAGCAGGGAAGAUAAUGACGGUAUCCGGAGAAGAAGCCCCGGCUAACUUCGUGCCAGCCGCCGCCGUAAUAC
rnacentral:rRNA from 1 species